GGCUGCCGGCUGGGGGCUGCCCUCCGCGCCCGGCCCGGCCCGGUCCGGCCCGGCCAACGCGGCAGGGAGCUGCGGCCCCGGCCCCGGGCGGGAGGGCUGCGGCCCGGGGGGCCGGUGAGGGCGCUCGGCCCCCUUAGCUCCUCGCUGGGGCCGGGCGAAGUGCUCUAAGGACGGAGCAGCUCGUGGGGCGGGGGCUCGCCUCCGCUUUCCCUUAGUUCCCUUUAAAAAAAAAAAAGGCAGUAUUUGUAACUUGCUUUUGAUUUUUCCGAGGGAAGAAAUAACUUCUCUUGCAGCCGUGAUCGACUGGGAGAAGACGGAUUUCGUGCGGCUGGUCUAGAUCCGUGUUGAUGCAGGAAUUGGCCUCGGCAGCAGAACUCCGAUACUGUAAGGCAUUUAAUAUUCACAACUUAAAGUCCGUAUGAGGAGGGUGUGCUUAGUACCACCAGGAAAAAUAUGAAUGAAGGUAUUUUCUUGGCACUGAGAUCACUAAUACGCCUCCUUUGCAGAUUGCAGAAGAAAAACAGCUGGCGCAAAGGAGAUUCCAGACAAAAGGAAGGAUCAUCAUCCUGAAUACAGAAGACUGAGUUGCAUUCUGAAUUUUCAUUACCAUAUGUGUUUUGUUUGAGUCCUAUUUACCCUCUAACAGGAGUUUAUUGAAUUCUAGUUCCCUCUAUCAGCAGGUUGAAAAUACAGGAAUUGUAGAAGUGACAAACUAUUGCUCAGUGGUGCCCCAUUUGCUACGUCUGGGAAGAGUCCCAAGUCCUCUUCAGUGAGAGUGAUGGGGUGGGAUGUGCUGCACUAGCAUUUGUUCAAGGUAUUUACUAACUACACAGCAAACAUAACCGGCAGCUUGGUGCACUGAAUAGCAUGCUUCUAUCCCUUGCAAAUCAAAUUAAGAAAGGGACAAAUCCUCAUCGGAAGAGGGACACACCAGCACUAAGUAUCAUUGUGACUUAGCCAAUCCCAAAGCUCACAGCCUGUUAAGCUGUGUUUCCAGUAUGACGGUCGAUGUCAGGACCUGACACUUUGUCCUUCAUUCCCUGAGCAUUUUGUACUGUAGUGUGGUGAACCUCAUCAGAACUGAUGAGUAAAACCCUGCCAGAAAAUAUUUGGUGUUUGCUUUUUCAUCUGGGCCAGCUCUGUGAUCAAAUUUACCAUAUGCCCACAUGCCACGGAGGACUCUGUGAGGAGUGAAAGCCUGCAAACCAAGACUAACUUAAUCUGAGGUCUCGUGGGACACGAAAGCGUGGCAUGGGCAGAAGCCUCUAACCUUGGCAACAGAAAGCGUUAUAGACAGGAGUGUGUCUGAAAUUACGCUCUUUACGCAGACAGAAAUGCCUGUUACAUUGGUCCUCUAAUGCCAAAGUCCAGUUAUUCCUUGUGGAUGUAGGUGACUACAUCAGCUCUUAUGAGUAACUGGUGUUUGCUGAUGGCAGAAGUGGUGUAUGCCCCUCAGUUGGGGAAAUGUGUGCCGGUCUCUGUUACAGUAGAGUUAUGAUGAUGAUGGUGUGAAGGACCUAAAACCACAUUUUCCACCUACCAGGAGGACAUGUCAGAUACCUGGUUAUAAUUUUUUUAUCAGAUCUGCAGAGCUUUGAGUCAUGCUAGACAAAUGGGUACAGCAUAGGUAUCUGGCUUUGCUGAUACCCACCCUCGCCCAGCAGUAUAAAAGUGGAUGGCAGCAGCAGCAUCACCUCUUUGAAGCCAUAUUGACCAAGAGUGCUGAACUUUAUUGAACUCCCUGUGACGGGGAUGGAAUUGGUACGCUCUGAUCCCCUCUGGGUGCAGAAGUGUUCAGUCUGUUGAUCCCAAACAUGCUUUGGCAUGAACUAGCUUAGAGUGGCAGCUAAGGGCUCGCCCAGGUAAGCAGGCAGAAUUGGCUGAGCUCUCGUCUGCCUCCAGAGCUGACCCACUUUAUUCAGGACAGCGAGACGAAUGAAAGAAAAAGUGCAAGUAAUUCUGGUGUGAUACAGAAGAAUUAAAGCAUAUGUUCAAAUAUUAAGUAUGCGUCCAAGUGGUGUUAUAAAUCAGGGCCUUGUCUAGCAGUGUUGUGUUUUCCAAUCCCUCACUAGGAUUUUAUUUGCAAAGGCACAAGCUAUAACUUUGAUGCACAAUGAACACAGAUAAUCAGUAGCCUGCCAUAGUCAGCUGCAGGGAUUGCUGCUAUGUAGCUCUUUGCUCACUGUUUUUGUAUGCUCCCCUAUGUGUCUGUGGUAUAUAUUCCUCAUAGUAUCUUUACUGUUAAGAGAACCUGCCUGUACUGCAGGAGGAAGUGGCCCACGAGAUUUAUCUCCCUUCUCCAUGAGAAAAAUAUAUUUGUGAGUGGUUACUUGGGGAGUUUGGGCUAAAACAUCAUUUACAAUACAGAUGUGUACAGGCUGUCAGGAUGGAUUUAAAGGGAGAAUUUGGGGGGUGGGGGUGGGGAAGUAAUUCAUAAUAAUAUAAUCCUCACUGAAUAGUAAGCAAAGUGAGGCAGCUUCCUACCAUUUGGGACUUGGAAAAAUUUCUUCCUAAUAAAGA